rnacentral:rRNA from 1 species
UACGUAGGUGGCGAGCGUUGUCCGGAAUUACUGGGUGUAAAGGGCGUGUAGGCGGGGAAACAAGUCAGAUGUGAAAUUCCACGGCUUAACUGUGGCGCUGCAUCUGAAACUGUGUCUCUUGAGUGCUGGAGAGGAAAGCGGAAUUCCUAGUGUAGCGGUGAAAUGCGUAGAUAUUAGGAGGAACACCAGUGGCGAAGGCGGCUUUCUGGACAGUAACUGACGCUGAGGCGCGAAAGCGUGGGGAGCAAACAGGAUUAGAUACCCUGGUAGUCCACGCUGUAAACGAUGGAUACUAGGUGUAGGAGGUAUCGACCCCUUCUGUGCCGGAGUUAACACAAUAAGUAUCCCACCUGGGGAGUACGGCCGCAAGGUUGAA